rnacentral:tRNA from 1 species
GGAUAAGUGACUGAGUGGUCUAAGGUGGUAGUUUUGAAAACUAACGCAGCAUUGCUGCCGUGGGUUCGAAUCCUGCCUUAUCCU